AACGCUGGCGGCGUGCUUAACACAUGCAAGUCGAACGCGAAAGGGACUUCGGUCCUGAGUAAAGUGGCGCACGGGUGAGUAACGCGUAGAUAACCUGUCUUCAUGUCUGGAAUAAUACGCCGAAAGGGGUACUAAUACCGGAUAUUCUUGCUUUUCAUAAGUUAUGCAAGCAAAGGUGGCCUCUGCAUAUGCUACUGCAUGAAGAGGGGUCUGCGUACCAUUAGCUAGUAGGUGGGGUAAUGGCCUACCUAGGCGACGAUGGUUAGCGGGUCUGAGAGGAUGAUCCGCCACACUGGCACUGGAACACGGGCCAGACUCCUACGGGAGGCAGCAGUGAGGAAUAUUGCGCAAUGGGGGAAACCCUGACGCAGCGACGCCGCGUGAGUGAGGAAGGCCUUCGGGUCGUAAAGCUCUGUCAAGAGGAAAGAAGUGUACAAUGGCUAAUACCUGUUGUAUUUGACGGUACCUCUAAAGGAAGCACCGGCUAACUCCGUGCCAGCAGCGGC
rnacentral:rRNA from 1 species